rnacentral:rRNA from 1 species
GUGCCAAGCAGNCGCGGUAUUUCGGCUCCCAAGAGCAUACACCUACAUUGCUGCAGUUAAAACGCUCGUAGUCUAUGUGAAGACCUACGCUAUGUGUCAUGUAGCCUUAACCGGGGAUUCAAUCCUUCUGUCUUUGGUAUGCUCUGUAGAGGAUCAUUGACGGAACGUCAUGACAGCGUAGCGUUAGGCUUUUUCGAUCGUGAACAAAUCAAUGCGAUCAAAGCAGGCACUGUAGUGCUCGCUCGAAUGUACUAGCAUGAAACCGAAAACAAUAAGCCGUUGCACACGUGCAUCGGUUUGCUGAAUAAUAGGAGGCUGAAGUAGGAUACUGGUAUUGCAAGCGCAGAGGUGAAAUUCCGACAUUCUAGCAAGACCACCAGAAGCGAAGGCUGACAUGUCUCUCACGCUUCCAUUGAUCAGGAACGAAAGUUAGGGGAUCGAAGAUGAUUAGAUACCGUCGUAGUCCUAACCGUAAACUAUACCGCCAGGCAAUUGGUGGAACACAAAAGAGAUUCUCUCAGCAGCCCAAGGAAACUGAAAGGUUUCAGGUUCUGGGGGGAGUAUAGUUGCAAGACCGAAACUUAAAGGAAUUGACGGAAAGGCACAACCAGGGGUGGAGUCUGCGGCUUAAUUCGACUCAACACGGGAAAACUCACCAAGUCCAGAUAGUGUAAUGAUUGACAGGUUAAUAGCCCUUUCUUGAUUCUCUAAUAGGUGGUGCAUGGCCGUUCUUAGUUCGUGGAGUGAUCUGUCUAGUUAAUUCUGAUAACGAACGAGACCUUUACCAUUGAUUGCGAGGCUGACAGCCUGCUUCGGCGGGCGCAGCUCUCAUAGACAGCAACACAAUUUGUCUGUCAUAGGCUACAAUGGGACUAUAGCGCGAAACAAAGCCUAAAGAAGGUAUAGGCAAUAACAGGUCUGUGAUGCCC